rnacentral:rRNA from 1 species
CCUACGGGAGGCAGCAGUAAGGAAUAUUGGUCAAUGGACGCAAGUCUGAACCAGCCAUGCCGCGUGAAGGAUGAAGGCCCUCUGGGUUGUAAACUUCUUUUAUAGGGGACGAAAAAAGGGAAUUCUUUCUCACUUGACGGUACCCUAGGAAUAAGCACCGGCUAACUCCGUGCCAGCAGCCGCGGUAAUACGGAGGGUGCAAGCGUUAUCCGGAUUCACUGGGUUUAAAGGGUGCGUAGGUGGGCAUUUAAGUCAGUGGUGAAAUCUCCGGGCUUAACCCGGAAACUGCCAUUGAUACUAUUUGUCUUGAAUAUUGUGGAGGUAAGCGGAAUAUGUCAUGUAGCGGUGAAAUGCUUAGAUAUGACAUAGAACACCCAUUGCGAAGGCAGCUUACUACGCAAAUAUUGACACUGAGGCACGAAAGCGUGGGGAUCAAACAGGAUUAGAUACCCUGGUAGUCCACGCCCUAAACGAUGGAUACUCGACAUCAGCGAUACACAGUUGGUGUCUGAGCGAAAGCAUUAAGUAUCCCACCUGGAAGUACGACCGCAAGGUUGAAACUCAAAGAGUAGUAGGCGNGAGAGAGCGACGACGACGACGACGGAGGAGGAGG